rnacentral:rRNA from 1 species
CGUUUGGGGGAAGGGCUAAGACUGCUAGUCGAGCGCCUUCCAGCCACGAAGAAGGCGCGGCACACAGCUCAGUAACACGUGGCUAACCUGCCCUCGGGACGAGAACAACCCCGGGAAACUGGGGCUAAUUCUCGAUAGGCGAAGAACUCUGGAAUGAGUCUUCACCCAAAAGACGUUUAGAUCAUGCUUCUAGGCGCCGCCCAAGGAUGGGGCCGCGACCGAUCAGGUAGUUGGUGAGGCAAUGGCUCACCAAGCCUUUAACCGGUGCGGGCCGUGGGAGCGGGAGCCCGGAGAUGGGCACUGAGACAAGGGCCCAGGCCCUACGGGGCGCAGCAGUCGCGAAAACUUUGCAAUAAGCGAAAGCUUGACAGGGCUAUCCCGAGUGCCAUCCGCUGAGGAAGGCUUUUACCCAGUCUAGUAAGCUGGGGGAAUAAGGAGAGGGCAAGUCUGGUGUCAGCCGCCGCGGUAAUACCAGCUCUCCGAGUGGUGUGGAUGUUUAUUGGGCCUAAAGCAUCCGUAGCUGGCUGAGUUAGUCCCCUGUUAAAUCCACCGAAUCAAUCGUUGGAUUGCGGGGGAUACUGCUCGGCUAGGGGACGGGAGAGGCAGACGGUAUUUUCGGGGUAGGGGUGAAAUCCUAUAAUCCCGGGAAGACCACCAGUGGCGAAGGCUGUCUGCUAGAACGCGCCCGACGGCGAGGGAUGAAAGCUGGGGUAGCGAACCGGAUUAGAUACCCGGGUAGUCCCAGCCGUAAACGAUGCAGGCUAGGUGUUUGGGCGGCCACGUGCCGCUCUAGUGCCGCAGGGAAGCUGUUAAGCCUGCCGCCUGGGGAGUACGAUCGCAAGAUUGAAACUUAAAGGAAUUGGCGGGGGAGCACCACAACGGGUGAAGCUUGCGGUUUAAUUGGAGUCAACGCCGGA